rnacentral:rRNA from 1 species
UACGUAGGGGGCAAGCGUUGUCCGGAAUCAUUGGGCGUAAAGCGCGCGCAGGCGGCCCUUUAAGUCUGAUGUGAAAGCCCACGGCUCAACCGUGGAGGGUCAUUGGAAACUGGAGGGCUUGAGUGCAGGAGAGAAGAGUGGAAUUCCACGUGUAGCGGUGAAAUGCGUAGAGAUGUGGAGGAACACCAGUGGCGAAGGCGACUCUUUGGCCUGUAACUGACGCUGAGGCGCGAAAGCGUGGGGAGCAAACAGG